CGCGCAAUAGGCAUGCUAAGAGGCCUGGGGACUAGGCUGGAGUGGCAGCCGCUGGACCCUGGGUACGAGGUUGACAAUGAUCAGUCCAUCCUCGUCCCCAGGCCCAAGCUCGGGCGGCCCUCACAGUGGCCCUGGUUCAGGCUGUUGAUCUGCGUCGGAAAUCCGACGCAGAGGCUUGGUCGCACAGCAUAUGUAUUUCUCCCUAAAAACAUGGCGACCGCAAUGAAUGCAACUGUACGAGAAAGGCAGAAGCAAUAUAUUUUGCACUUGUGAAAACAAAUAAUACUCAAUUAAGUUAAAGGAAAUGCAGAAAGA